rnacentral:misc_RNA from 1 species
AGCGGUGGCGGCAUCGGCGCCCCCGGUGGUAGCGGCGUUGUCAGCAGCGGUGGCGGCGUCUGCGCGCCCGGUAGCAGUGGCAGUGGCGGUUUCAGGAUUGUCAGCCUGGUGAAGGGAGAGAUGACCGGCAAUGGCGGCAGCGGCGGGGGCCGCCAUCUUGAGAAUGGUUCUGCUUCUUGCUGAAAACUUAUGACAGAGACAUGUUGAUGUUGGUAGUGUUGUUCUUGGAGGUUUUCUUUCAUACUUUUUCUGUUUAGUUGAGCUGGGAAUGU